rnacentral:rRNA from 1 species
AACGAACGCUGGCGGCAUGCCUAACACAUGCAAGUCGAACGAGACCUUCGGGUCUAGUGGCGCACGGGUGCGUAACGCGUGGGAACCUGCCCUUAGGUUCGGAAUAACUCCCCGAAAGGGGUGCUAAUACCGGAUAAUGUCUUCGGACCAAAGAUUUAUCGCCUUUGGAUGGGCCCGCGUUGGAUUAGCUAGUUGGUAGGGUAAAAGCCUACCAAGGCGACGAUCCAUAGCUGGUCUGAGAGGAUGAUCAGCCACACUGGGACUGAGACACGGCCCAGACUCCUACGGGGGGCAGCAGGGGGGAAUAUUGGACAAGGGGCGAAAGCCUGAUCCAGCAAUGCCGGGUGAGUGAUGAAGGCCUUAGGGUUGUAAAGCUCUUUUACCCGGGAUGAUAAGGACAGUACCGGGAGAAUAAGCCCCGGCUAACUCCGU